UACGUAGGGUGCAAGCGUUGUCCGGAUUUAUUGGGCGUAAAGGGCUCGUAGGCGGCCAACUAAGUCGGAUGUGAAAUCCCCAGGCUCAACCUGGGAACUGCAUCCGAUACUGGAUGGCUUGAAUUCGGGAGAGGGAUGCAGAAUUCCAGGUGUAGCGGUGAAAUGCGUAGAUAUCUGGAGGAAUACCGGUGGCGAAGGCGGCAUCCUGGACCGACAUUGACGCUGAUGAGCGAAAGCUAGGGGAGCAAACGGG
rnacentral:rRNA from 1 species